rnacentral:rRNA from 1 species
GAAGAACGCUGGCGGCGUGCUUAACACAUGCAAGUCGAACGAUGAAGCUGGAGCUUGCUCCGGUGGAUUAGUGGCGAACGGGUGAGUAACCCGUGAGCAAUCUGCCCUUGAGUCAGGGAUAGCUGCGGGAAACUGUAGCUAAUACCGGAUACGACACCUUAGGGCAUCCUAGGGCGUGGAAAGAAUUGCGGUCACGGAUGAGCUCGCGGCUUAGCAGCUAGGUUGUGAGGUAUUUGCUCACCAAGGCGACGCCGGGUAGCCGGCCUGAGAGGGUUACGGGCCACCCUGUAACUGAGACACGGUCCGGACUACUACGGGAGGCAGCAGUGGGGAAUAUUGCACAAUGGGCGAAAGCCUGAUGCAGCAACGCCGCGUGAGGGAUGAAGGCCUUCUGGUUGUAAACCUCUUUUAGCAGGGAAGAAGCAAAAGUGACGGUACCUGCAGAAAAAGCACCGGCUAACUACGUGCCAGCCGCCGCAGUAA